rfam:Canis lupus familiaris chromosome 21, whole genome shotgun sequence.
GCCUGGGUGGCUCAGCGGUUGAGCAUCUGCCUUUGGCUCAGGGUGUGAUCCCAGAGUCGUGGGAUCAAGUCCCACAUCAGGCU